GAUGAACGCUGGCGGCGUGCCUAAUACAUGCAAGUCGAGCGAACAGACGAGGAGCUUGCUCCUCUGACGUUAGCGGCGGACGGGUGAGUAACACGUGGAUAACCUACCUAUAAGACUGGGAUAACUUCGGGAAACCGGAGCUAAUACCGGAUAAUAUAUUGAACCGCAUGGUUCAAUAGUGAAAGACGGUUUUGCUGUCACUUAUAGAUGGAUCCGCGCCGCAUUAGCUAGUUGGUAAGGUAACGGCUUACCAAGGCAACGAUGCGUAGCCGACCUGAGAGGGUGAUCGGCCACACUGGAACUGAGACACGGUCCAGACUCCUACGGGAGGCAGCAGUAGGGAAUCUUCCGCAAUGGGCGAAAGCUUGACGGAGCAACGCCGCGUGAGUGAGGAAGGUCUUCGGAUCGUAAAACUCUGUUAUUAGGGAAGAACAAAUGUGUAAGUAACUAUGCACGUCUUGACGGUACCUAAUCAGAAAGCCACGGCUAACUACGUGC
rnacentral:rRNA from 1 species